rnacentral:snRNA from 14 species
GGAUGUGAGGGCAAUCUGGCUGCAACAUCUGUCACCCCAUUGAUCACCAGGGUUGAUUUGGCUGAUCUGGCUGGCUAGGCGGCUGUCCCCUUCCUCCCUCACUGCUCCAUGUGCAUCCCUCCCAAAGCUGCGUGCCUGGUUGAAAAGGAUGACCAUCCCUGAUACAGGCGGUAUCGUUCAUCAGUCACAGGUAUUUUGUAGCUGCACUCCCCUGAUAGAACCUCCAAACAAGAUCAAGGUCCAGUUGUAGGAGAACGUAGGGUAGUUGAGCUUCCAAGACUGCAGACAUAUCCAAGUGACGUGCUGCACAUGGCAGUCUGCCAUUCUUU